rnacentral:rRNA from 1 species
AUACGUAGGGAGCGAGCGUUGUCCGGAAUUACUGGGUGUAAAGGGAGCGUAGGCGGGAGUGCAAGUCAGAUGUGAAAUACAUGGGCUCAACCCAUGGGCUGCAUUUGAAACUGCAUUUCUUGAGUGAAGUAGAGGUAAGCGGAAUUCCUGGUGUAGCGGUGAAAUGCGUAGAUAUCAGGAGGAACACCGGUGGCGAAGGCGGCUUACUGGGCUUUUACUGACGCUGAGGCUCGAAAGCGUGGGGAGCAAACAGGAUUAGAUACCCUGGUAGUCCACGCUGUAAACGAUGAUUACUAGGUGUGGGGGACUGACCCCUUCCGUGCCGCAGUUAACACAAUAAGUAAUCCACCUGGGGAGUACGGCCGCAAGGUUGAAACUCAAAUGAAUUGACGGGG